UGCCAAAAGGCGGCGAACACUUGGUCCCAUU
rnacentral:piRNA from 1 species